rnacentral:rRNA from 1 species
AAUGAAUUCUGAUAUGACUUAGUGGCGGACGGGUGAGUAACACGUGAGCAACCUGCCUUUCAGAGAGGAAUAACGGCUGGAAACGGUCGCUAAUACCUCAUAACGUAUAUUUAAGGCAUCUUAGAUAUACCAAAGAUUUAUCGCUGAAAGAUGGGCUCGCGUCUGAUUAGAUAGUUGGUGAGGUAACGGCUCACCAAGUCGACGAUCAGUAGCCGGACUGAGAGGUUGAACGGCCACAUUGGGACUGAGACACGGCCCAGACUCCUACGGGAGGCAGCAGUGGGGAAUAUUGCACAAUGGGCGCAAGCCUGAUGCAGCAACGCCGCGUGAGGGAAGACGGUUUUCGGAUUGUAAACCUUUGUCUUUGGUGAAGAAGAAAGUGACGGUAACCAAGGAGGAAGCCACGGCUAACUACGUGCCAGCAGCCGCGGUAAUACGUAGGUGGCAAGCGUUGUCCGGAAUUACUGGGUGUAAAGGGAGCGCAGGCGGGACUGCAAGUUGGAUGUGAAAUACCGAGGCUCAACCUCGGAGCUGCAUCCAAAGCUGUAGUUCUUGAGUGAAGUAGAGGUAGGCGGGAUUCCGAGUGUAGCGGUGAAAUGCGUAGAUAUUCGGAGGAACACCAGUGGCGAAGGCGGCCUACUGGGCUUUAACUGACGCUGAGGCUCGAAAGUGUGGGGAGCAAACAGGAUUAGAUACCCUGGCAGUCCACACUGUAAACGAUGAUAGCUAGGUGUGGGGGGUCUGACCCCUUCCGUGCCGGAGUUAACGCAAUAAGCUAUCCACCUGGGGAGUACGGCCGCAAGGUUGCAACUCAAAUGAAUUGACGGA